GUCCACGCCGUAAACGAUGAAUGCUAGCCGUUGGCGGGUUUACCCGUCAGUGGCGCAGCUAACGCUUUAAGCAUUCCGCCUGGGGAGUACGGUCGCAAGAUUAAAACUCAAAGGAAUUGACGGGGGCCCGCACAAGCGGUGGAGCAUGUGGUUCAAUUCGACGCAACGCGAAGAACCUUACCUACCCUUGACAUGCCAGGAAGGCCGCAGAGAUGUGGUUGUGCCCGAAAGGGACCUGGACACAGGUGCUGCAUGGCUGUCGU
rnacentral:rRNA from 1 species